UUCCACUCCUCCCGCGGCCGCCUCCCUCCCUCACUCUCUCCUCAUCCGGCGACGGCGGCAGCGGUCACAGAGGAGGGCAGCGGAUCAGCGGCGCCGGCGAUGGCGUCCGUGGCGGCGGUGGACGGCGCGGCGGCAGCGCUCCGUUCGCUGAUGUCGCGCGCGCAGCAGGCGGCGACGCGGUCAGGACGGGCGCCAGAGCCCUCGCACACUGUCGCUGCUCUCCCCGUCAAGGUUUCCCCUCCAACCGGAGCUCCUCCUGAUCCGCCGACUGGCGCUCUUCCCCACCGCGGCGACGCUCGUGCCGCUGCUCUCCGUCGAGCUCGCGUGUGCGGCGCAUCUGAUGGCCAACACAGCCAUCGUCGUUGCCUGCCCUCCUUGACGCCAUGGUGCGGCCUCGCGCUCUUCCUCCCUUCUCCUCUGGCGCCUCCUCCCCGUCGGCGCCCUCUCUGGAGGCGUAGGUCACCGCCUCCCGUGCAUGCCGUCUCUUGCAAGCCCCUCCCCCCCCUCGACCAGCGGCGGCGCCGACCCUGACAAGGAGCCCAUCCUGCCCCUCCUCCAGGAACUAGCAGAUAGUUUGGUGCUCCCGCAAGCAAUUUGGGCUUCUAUCUUGAUGUAAGCAGUCACUAUCCCCUUCUCGGCUUCGAUUCAAACUCACCUGGUGGCUAAGAUUAUUUGGGUUGUCAGCAGUUAAUAACCACUGUUACCUUUAACAAUAGCAGUAAAGGAAAAUCUAAAUGGUUAAUGUAGACACUUGUGUAUGUGGCUUUGCUUCAAACAGAAUAAGGCAAGCAGCAUCGUUAUGACCCCAAAAGGAUAGUUAACUAAUGUGUGAUAUAAAUAAUUUACCUUUGGAUGAUAUGAAGAGAGGGCCACUCUUAAAUAUACGCGGUUAUGAGGUAAUUCGUUGCUAUGUGAUGCAUCGUUUGGUCCUGCUCCAGUGUUGUUUUGCCUUCUUUUACUCGGCUCAUGUUGCGUUUGGCUUGGAGACUACUGAAAUGGAAAUGUGUUGGAGCAAUUAUGUGUUGCAGGUAAAGAAACAAAUUUUCAUUUCUUUUGGCUUGCUAUUAAUUGUCACUUGCAUACACAUGAUAAGGUUGGUCAUAGAUUUGUGCAGCUAGCUAGCAUUGCUAUUAUUAUGUGCUGCUCUAGAAAUAGAUCAAGUGAUACUUUAAUUUUUGUUCAUCUAAUGAUUUUUUUGUUAUUUCCUUUUGAAUGCUUAGCCAUGCCGUGUCUCACUCGUGUGAAACUCAAGAUUUGAUAGUAGCACAUAACUCAUGAUUUGACAAACAGUUAAAUUCCUAUAUUUUAGUAUAUCUUGUUAUCUUUCUUAUUUCUGUUCCUGAACUGAACUUCGCCCUUUUCUACAAAAUUAUAAGAGCAAUGGUGGUUUGGACAAAUGAUUAUGGUUUCUUAUUUUAUUUUCUUGGUGUUAGAUUACUAAUGUAGAGAAAUAAAAUUAUAUGAUUUUACCAUUAUUAUCAGAUGAGGAAGUGAUAGGUUCGGAAAAUGACAAUAGUUACCUAUCUCUCAUCUCUACUGUAUUCAUGUAAAUGCCCAUGUCUUUUUCCAUUAUUAUCAGUUGAUAUGUUCUUCAUUGCACACAAAUCAUUCUUACUAUACUAUCAGAUAUUAUUAGCACAUGCUCUUUUGAGGGAAAUGGGGAUGGCACUAUCUUUCGGUCUUCUGCCCAGAAAUCUUUAGAGUACAUUAUCUUUCAUCUUCCUAAUUAUAAAUUGUUGGAAUUUCUUAUGCUUUCAGUAAUGCAACUUGAUUGUUUUACUGUUGUCUAUUGAGGGAAAUGGGGAUGGCACUAUCUUUCGGUCUUCCUAAUUAGAUAUAAACAACUGCUUACCCACACCGUAUAACUUCGGUUUGCUCCCUCGCUGCCGCGUCACUCUGUUCCAUACACUAAGAAGCGUGAAGUCUGCCGGUUGCCACUCGCGCUGCUGCUCUGCUUGGAGCCGUCGUCAUCGACUGGAGGAGCGCCGAAUCAUCGUCCUCGAGUUCGUGCACUUCAGGAAGAAGACGGCCCGAGGUGAGACGCCAUGCAUUAGCCGUGCAAAGGUAGAGCUUGACAUAUAGGUCAGUGUGUGUGUGCAGCAGCUCCAGAGAGACCAACGUCAAGGUACCCACUGCUCCUGUUGAGGCUAGCCUGCCGUAGUAAAUGAAGCCCAUAGGUGGAGGGAUUUGGGUGAUCUGUAGUCAAAGGAUAAUAUCAAGCAAGAGGACGCACAAGGAGGGUCGCCCCGGAGUAGAGGUAGAGGACGUUGCCAGUUGCAUCUCUCUCUGACGUGAACCCCACCUUGGCAUGGAUGUGACCAGUGUUGAUCCCCAACAUUGGCAAGCAUUUGCGUCCAAGUUGAUCUGGAACAAUUUGAAGGGUUUCCUCGACACAAAAUCUCCAGCCAAGAUGGAAAUGUUCUUCGGCACCAUGACGAACAUCAACGGAGGAACAACCUUUUUAUUAUUUUCUGUUGCCUCUACUGUAUUGUUGCUGUCACAAAGAUUUACCUGGACAUGGAGCCAUCAUGAUGUGUUUAAAAAUGAUUACAUUAUCCUUUUCUAACCUGAUGGUGUUAGAAACAUCUUAGCAUUCAAGCAGGUUUAGUUCAUUGUUUAUUAAUUCCUAUUAUGUAAAAAUAAAUCACUGAUCAUCGCUUGACAGAAAAUAUUUUGAUAUGCAAUCAUGUGCAUGGCCGAAGAACCUGGAUGUUAUUUACAGGUUUUGGAUCAUGGGUGAUUGUUUUGAAUGAAAAA